UACGAAGGGGGCUAGCGUUGUUCGGAAUUACUGGGCGUAAAGGGCGCGUAGGCGGUGUGUCAAGUCAGGCGUGAAAGCCCCGGGCUCAACUCGGAACGGCCAAGUGAUACUGUCGUGCUAGAGUGCAGAAGGGGCAAUCGGAAUUCUUGGUGUAGCGGUGAAAUGCGUAGAUAUCAAGAGGAACACCUGAGGUGAAGACGGAUUGCUGGGCUGACACUGACGCUGACAGCGCGAAAGCUAGGGGAGCAAACGGGG
rnacentral:rRNA from 1 species